rnacentral:tRNA from 1 species
GGAGGGUUGUCCGAGUGGCCGAAGGAGACGGUCUUGAAAACCGUUAUGGGGGCGACCUCAUCAAGGGUUCGAAUCCCUUACCCUCCGCCA